ensembl:piRNA 21ur-3900 ncRNA
UUGAUAUGGUAAAUUGUGAAC